GGCUUUAUAGUCAAUAAUGAUAUUAGACUGCAAUUCUAAAGGAGUAUAAUAAUACUAAGGCUU
rnacentral:tRNA from 1 species